rnacentral:rRNA from 1 species
GUAACUGACGCUGAGGAGCGAAAGGGUGGGGAGCAAACAGGCUUAGAUACCCUGGUAGUCCACCCCGUAAACGUUGGGAACUAGUUGUGGGGACCAUUCCACGGUUUCCGUGACGCAGCUAACGCAUUAAGUUCCCCGCCUGGGGAGUACGGCCGCAAGGCUAAAACUCAAAGGAAUUGACGGGGACCCGCACAAGCGGCGGAGCAUGCGGAUUAAUUCGAUGCAACGCGAAGAACCUUACCAAGGCUUGACAUACACCAGAACGGGCCAGAAAUGGUCAACUCUUUGGACACUGGUGAACAGGUGGUGCAUGGUUGUCGUCAGCUCGUGUCGUGAGAUGUUGGGUUAAGUCCCGCAACGAGCGCAACCCUCGUUCUAUGUUGCCAGCACGUAAUGGUGGGAACUCAUGGGAUACUGCCGGGGUCAACUCGGAGGAAGGUGGGGAUGACGUCAAAUCAUCAUGCCCCUUAUGUCUUGGGCUUCACGCAUGCUACAAUGGCCGGUACAAAGGGCUGCAAUACCGUGAGGUGGAGCGAAUCCCAAAAAGCCGGUCCCAGUUCGGAUUGAGGUCUGCAACUCGACCUCAUGAAGUCGGAGUCGCUAGUAAUCGCAGAUCAGCAACGCUGCGGUGAAUACGUUCCCGGGUCUUGUACACACCGCCCGUC